AGAGUUUGAUCAUGGCUCAGGACGAACGCUGGCGGUGCGCCUUAUGCAUGCAAGUCGAGCGAAGCUUUUCAGUAGUUUACUACAGAAAAUGACUGAGCGGCGAACGGGUGAGUAACGCGUGAGCAACCUACCUUAGUUACUGGGAUAGCCCGAGGAAACUCGGAUUAAUACCGGAUAUUCUUAUUUAAUCACAUGAUUUUUUAAGGAAAGGUUAGCCGAACUAAGAUGGGCUCGCGUUCUAUCAGCUAGUUGGUAGGGUAAUGGCCUACCAAGGCUACGACGGAUAGCUGGUCUGAGAGGACGAUCAGCCACACUGGGACUGAGACACGGCCCAGACUCCUACGGGAGGCUGCAGCAGGGAAUAUUGCGCAAUGAGCGAAAGCUUGACGCAGCGACACCGCGUGUGGGAUGACGGAUCUAGGUUUGUAAACCACUUUCAGGAGGGAAGAAAAUGACGGUACCUCCACAAGAAGCCCCGGCCAACUACGUGCCAGCAGCCGCGGUAAUACGUAGGGGGCGAGCGUUGUCCGGAUUUAUUGGGCGUAAAGAGCUCGUAGGCGGUUCAACAAGUCGGUCGUGAAAGUUCAGGGCUCAACCCUGAAAUGUCGAUCGAUACUGUUGUGACUAGGAUACGGUAGAGGUGAGUGGAAUUCCGAGUGUAGCGGUGAAAUGCGUAGAUAUUCGGAGGAACACCAAUUGCGAAGGCAGCUCACUGGGCCGCUAUCGACGCUGAGGAGCGAAAGCUAGGGGAGCAAACAGGAUUAGAUACCCUGGUAGUCCUAGCUGUAAACGAUGGAUACUAGAC
rnacentral:rRNA from 1 species